rnacentral:rRNA from 1 species
CUGAGUAGCGGCGAGCGAAAGGGAAAGAGCCCAAACCGAUCUUAGGAUCGGGGUAGUAGGAUCAUCGAGAAAUCUGACAGAGGAUCAUAGAGGAAUCACAUGGGAAGGUGAGCGAGAGAGGGUGAGAGCCCCGUACUCGAAAUGAGAGACUGGAGAGAGAUGACACCUGAGUAGGGCGGGACACGAGAAAUCCUGUCUGAAUCAGCCGGGACCAUCCGGCAAGGCUAAAUACGAGAGAGUGACCGAUAGUGAACCAGUACCGUGAGGGAAAGGUGAAAAGAACCCCGGGAGGGGAGUGAAAGAGAACCUGAAACCAUAUGCCUACAAGAAGUCAGAGCCCGUUAAAGGGUGAUGGCGUGCCUUUUGUAGAAUGAACCGGCGAGUUACUGUAUGGAGCGAGGUUAAGCAGGAUAUGCGGAGCCGAAGCGAAAGCGAGUCUUAAGAGGGCGAGAGUUGCAUGCAGUAGACCCGAAACCGGGUGAUCUAGCCAUGACCAGGUUGAAGUUGGGGUAAAACCCGAUGGAGGACCGAACCGACCCCCGUUGAAACGUUGGCGGAUGAGUUGUGGCUAGGGGUGAAAUUCCAAUCGAACCCGGAGAUAGCUGGUUCUCCCCGAAAUAGCUUUAGGGCUAGCGUCGAGGUAAGUUGCGUGAAGGUAGAGCACUGAAUAUGUGAUGGCCCCAUCUCGGGGUACUGAGCAUAAUCAAACUGCGAAUGUCACGCCAACAUGCUCGGCAGUCAGACAGCGGGUGAUAAGGUCCGUUGUCAAGAGGGAAACAGCCCAGACCAUCAGCUAAGGUCCCAAAAUGUAUGCUAAGUGGAAAAGGAUGUGGAGAUGUACAGACAACUAGGAGGUUGGCUCAGAAGCAGCCAUCCUUUAAAGAGUGCGUAACAGCUCACUAGUCGAAUGACUCUGCGCCGAUAAUUUACCGGGGCUAAGCAUACUACCGAAGCUAUGGAUCCCAAGGGAUGGUAGGGGAGCGUUCCAUGAACGGAGAAGUACGACCGAAAGGACGUGUGGAGAUCAUGGAAGAGAGAAUGCCGGUGUGAGUAGCGGAACGUGGGUGAGAAUCCCACGCACCGAAAACCCAAGGUUUCCAGAGGAAGGUUCGUCCGCUCUGGGUAAGUCGGGACCUAAGGCGAGGCCGAAAGGCGUAGUCGAUGGACAACAGGUAGAGAUUCCUGUACCCGUAUAUAUGUGAAGGAAUGACGGAGAGAGGAAGCUGCAGCCAGCGGCUGGAAGAGCUGGUGCAAGCGAGAUAUCGGGAUGGCAGGCAAAUCCACCAUCCGAAACGAGAAGGCGUGAAGCGUACGGAAAGCUACGGCGAGUACGGAAGGCAGUGGAGGAACUUCCAAGAAAAGUUUCUAACGUAAAGUAUAUAUGGCCCGUACCGAAAAUGGACACACAUGGGUGAGGAGAGAAUCCUAAGGUGAGCGAGAGAACUAUAGCUAAGGAACUCUGCAAAAUGACUCCGUAACUUAGGGAGAAGGAGUGCUCAUAGAGAUAUGAGCCGCAGUGAAACGGCCCAAGCGACUGUUUACCAAAAACACAGCUCUCUGCUAAGCCGCAAGGCGAAGUAUAGGGGGUGACGCCUGCCCGGUGCUGGAAGGUUAAGGGGAGGGGUUAACGCAAGUGAAGCCCUGAACUGAAGCCCCAGUAAACGGCGGCCGUAACUAUAACGGUCCUAAGGUAGCGAAAUUCCUUGUCAGGUAAGUUCUGACCCGCACGAAAGGCGUAACGAUUUGGGCGCUGUCUCAGCUGUAGACUCGGUGAAGUCUUAGUACCUGUGAAGAUGCAGGUUACCCGCGACUAGACGGAAAGACCCCAUGGAGCUUCACUGCAGGUUGAUAUUGGGAUUUGAUGCAGCAUGUACAGGAUAGGUAGGAGGCAAAGAGAUGGAUACGCCAGUAUUCAAGGAGCCGCUGUUGGGAUACUACCCCUGUUGUAUUGGAUUUCUAACCGGACGACGUAGAGCCGUUGACGGGACAGUGUCAGUCGGGCAGUUUGACUGGGGCGGUCGCCUCCCAAAGAGUAACGGAGGCGCCCAAAGAUACCCUCAGCUUGGAUGGAAACCAAGCGCAGAGUGCAAAGGCAAAAGGGUGUUUGACUGCGAGACCCACAAGUCGAGCAGGGACGAAAGUCGGGCUUAGUGAUCCGGCGGUGCUGAAUGGAAAGGCCGUCGCUCAACGGAUAAAAGCUACCCUGGGGAUAACAGGCUGAUCUCCCCCAAGAGUUCACAUCGACGGGGAGGUUUGGCACCUCGAUGUCGGCUC